UACGGAGGGAGCUAGCGUUGUUCGGAAUUACUGGGCGUAAAGCGCGCGUAGGCGGCUUUGUAAGUUAGAGGUGAAAGCCCGAGGCUCAACUCCGGAAUUGCCUUUAAGACUGCAUCGCUAGAAUUGUGGAGAGGUAAGUGGAAUUCCGAGUGUAGAGGUGAAAUUCGUAGAUAUUCGGAAGAACACCAGUGGCGAAGGCGACUUACUGGACACAUAUUGACGCUGAGGUGCGAAAACGUGGGGAGCAAACAGG
rnacentral:rRNA from 1 species